UUAGGGGAUGAGGCCGGGCAGCCCUGGCUGGGGGAUCUGGGGCUGGAGAGCCUGCUGGCCAUGUGAACAGGGGACCAAUUAGUCACUCUGGGGGAGCAGGGGAAUGUAAGUUGGCCUGUUCACCAGCCGUUUGGGGGGGGGCACACGGUGGGGGGAGCAUGAACCCCACUGGCGGCCCCCAGCUGGCCUCCCCAGCCACACGGCCACACAGUGGGCUCCUCAGACGUGCCCAGGCCACCCGCCGCCCAGCGGGGACAGCUGCGGGCCGCCGGCCUCCGUGCCCCGGGCGGGGGCUGGGCCGCUUGACCUCGGAGGGCUGGUCUCCUCCAGGAUUUUACGGUCGGGGCCUGGCGUUCCCAGCCACAGCGUCUCGCAGAGGGGGCAGCCCGGAGGACGCUGAGUGGCCACAGAGGUUGGCUGUUCUCCCACGUGCCUGCAGCGGGGGGAGGGAGCCGCCGGAGGAAAACGGGGAGCCGCGAGGGAGACGUGGGAAGGUUCCCUGCGAACGGGAGCGGUGAGGACACCCAGAGAGGCCCAGAAAGCGGGAGACACACGGGGCCGGGGCCAGGGCCAGAGCGAGACAGGAGGACAAAGACAGAGGUGGCGGCAGCGAGACAAAUGGAGGACCGGCGAGCCGGGAGCAGCCGGGCCGCGCGGAGAAGGCGCGCGCGGCCGCCGACAUGUGUGUGGGACGACCAACCUUCAGAUGCAAAGGCUUUUGUACCUAGAAGCUUCCUCUGGUUUGCCCGGCCAGCACUUUGCUCCUCAGCCCCAAAUGCAGCCCAGAAAUGAAGACAAGCCGAUUCCACAGGUACGGAAUGUCCUGUCCAUCAGGCACCCUCUCCCGCCCUCUCCCCUCAUCACCUGAGGUGCAGGCUUGGAGAGCCUGUGCAAGGUUCCCUGUCCCCUUCACACCCAGUCACCUGUGAGGUUGGUGCUUUCACUGCCCCCAUUUUCCACAUGGGGAAACUGAGCCAGAGAGUCAGCUAGCCCAGGAUAGAAAUGGUACAGCCGAGGGCCCACACAGGGCCUGCCCUCCAACACCACGCCCUCAAGCACUGCGCCCUCCUCCCUCCUCCGUGGGCGCCCUCCACCCUCCUUCCUCCCUCGGCUGGCCCAGCUGCUCCCCAACCGAACCAGCCUUUGUCGAGACCCACGCAGACGUCCACCACGCUGCCUUCCACAGGCCAACUGGCUUAUUUCCCAAGAUGACCCGAAGAAGGGGUGCUGCAGACCCAUUUUACACUGGGGGAAACUGGGGUCUGAAGCAGCCACAGAAAAUCUUUGUGGGGACGACCGAGGCCUCCGUUCCCACACGACUGACUUGGCGCAGCUGCCAACAGCCGGCUGACCUCCGCCCCCGGAGCCUGUGAGCCUGAGCUGCCCGCGGACACCGGUUUUCCCAGCCCCGGCCGAGGGGCUCCUCCAACGCUCCCCGCCCCUACAAGAACCUCAGCUCAGAGCCAGAGCCCAGAAGAUGACCUUCAAGGUCGUGUGGUCCCCUGGAGGGCACUCCUGCUGGGUGUGAGCCCAGGCUCUGGGCUCCCCCGGCCUGGGGGGUCUUCCUCACGCGGAGGGACCAGCCUUGCUGACUAAUGCACUAGGGGUGGUGAACAGCCAUAUGCAGCAGCCCUGGCCCUGGGACACUUCUGGAAAUGUACCCUACGAGCAUGAAAACUGUGAACGUGCAGGAAGAUGUUCUUUGCACUGUUAUUUAUAAUAGUGGGGGAAACCGUCUAAACGUCCAACCAUAAGGUGCAGUUAAUAAAACCCAGACAGCCCCCUUCACACACUGCUCAACACGCUCAGCUAUCACCCUGUGGGUGCGGGACACCCCUAUGGACAUCCAUUGCUCAGGCUGCCGUAACCAAGUACCAGGCUGGCAGAUUCAACCAGCAGAGAUAUAUUUUUCUCACAAUUCUGGAGGCUGGAAGUUGGAGACCAAGGUUGUUGACAGGUUUGGUUCCUUCCAAGGCCUCUCUCCUUGGCUUGCAGAGGACCAUCUUCUCCCUGUAUAUCUCACGGGGUUUUCCCUCUGUGUGUGUCUGUGUCCUAAUCUCUUCUUCUUACAAGGACACUAGCCCUAUUGGAUCAGGGCCCACCCUAAUGACCUCUGUAAAGACCCAAAUAUAGUCAAAUACAGUCACAUUCUAAGGUGCUAGGGUUAGCAGUUCAACAUAGGAAUUUGUGGGGGGGAUACAACUCAGCCCACGACAGGAAUCCUCCACCAAACGGAAGCCAUUUGACAGGCCAUGUGUCAAGUGACACUGGCACCAAGGUGACACAGAAGCUUUCAGCCCUCUUGAAGCAUGAGAUCCAAGAGUUCAAAGAUCCCAUUGGCUCCCAGGAAGGAAGCCCUAUCUGAAAUGCUCUACCCCAUGAGGCAGCAUCAAAGCCAAGGAAAGGGCCUGGGGCAGCUCCCAGCUCCAAGUCUCAGGAGCUGGGUGGCCUUGGAGAGGCUACCCCACACCCACCUCGUAGGUCCUCAGUAUCAGAGGCCAGGCUCCCUGGUUCACCUGGCAGGGGGGCCUCGUCUAAGCCCCUCCACCCUCACUACUGGCCUCCUUAGGCUCGAUGGUGACAAUCCAGCUCCACACAGGACAACAAGGUGUCACCCAUAAAGGCCUUGCAAGGCAGGCCCCUCCGGUUCCCAUAACCCCAAGGGCAGCUGUAGAGGUGCCGCCCCAUUUCACAGACGGUGGAAGCGAGGCUGACACAGCCAGCGGCCUGUCCAAGGUCACAUGGCACGGAAAUGCCUGCCUCACAUUUAACACUAAGACAACUCGGUGAUAGCAUUAACGCGUGUUUCAAUGGGAGGGGGUCCCAUCACCUUGUGAACACAGCCGUACCAGCUUUCCAAGUCCUCUUCCAGCCUGGACUUACACGGACAUAUUUCUUUAAGGCUGUAAUCAAGACACGUGUACAAUUUUGUGCUCUGCUUAUUUUGACUCAGCAUUAGAUCAUCAGCUUCUCUGUGUUGAAAUGGGCUCCAUGGCUGUCAUUUUAAAGCCACAGAACAUUCCACCCCCAGGGGUACACAACAGUUUGCCUAACUGUAUUUUAUUGUUGGAUGUUCAGAAUUUCCCUACCACUAUAAAUAACAGUGCAAAGAACAUCUUUGUGUGUCUUAUCGUUUUCAUUCUUGCAAGUUCAUUCCUUUGGAUGCAUUUCUAGAAAUGGGAUUAUUGGGCCAAAGUAUGGAGUGUCUUUAAAAGCCCUGGAUACACAUUGACAAAUGGUUUGGGGAACAGACAAUAUGAUACGGAUUUGUGCGCUGCCACCGGCAAUACAA